AUGCAAAUGCAGGGUCCUAAAGAUAUGGAAACUGAUAAGAGUAAAAAUCCAAAAUCUGGGGCCCCAGCUCAGAAUUCUCAGAAAGCUCCUUCUAGGUCCAAAACACCAAUGGAGCUAGUGAACUCACUGGAGAAAAAGGUGCAAAGUGCUAUACUAGGACUGGAAGGAGAUUCAAGCAUGAAAAAAGACUUGCAUAGGAAGAAACCUGAGGAUAAUAUUGGCAUUCAGCUACUGGAGCAAUUUGAUGAGGAGUCUGAUGGGGAUGGUGCAACCUUGGAGGUGCCAAAACCACAGAAUACUCACAACAAAAAAUGGGCUCUGUGGUGGCACCCAGGGUGA
rnacentral:rRNA from 1 species